GGUGUGGAGUUAUUAAAGUUUUAUUUAAAGGAAAGCAAAGAUUGUUUAAUUAAAAAAAUUUAAAUAAUAUAAAUGUAUUAAAGUUGAGGGUAAUGUGAGUGAAGGUCUAGAAUAGAGACAGAUAAUUAGAGAAAGUAAAUAUUAGUUAUUGUACCUUUUGUAUUAGGGAUUAUUUAAAUAUAAAUUUAAAAUGAUGAAUUUUCUCGAAAUUUUAAGAGUUAAAUAUAGUUAUGAUAGUUAAUGUUAAAGAAUUAUUAUAAAUAAUUAUUUAGUGAAUAUAUUUUUGUCAAUUAGGGUGAUAUCUAGUUUUUUUUGAAUAAAUUUAAUUUUGAUUUGGUUAAGAAUAUUAAUUAUGUAUAUAUAAGGAUUAUUAUUAAUUAAAUUAAGGUAUUUAUGGGGUUAUCUAUAAAUAAAUAUUAAAAGUUUUUAUUUUUAUUAGUGUAUUGGAUAUUUAAAAGUAUUUAUAAAAUUUGAAAUUUUUUGUAAAAAUUUAAUAAUUUAUAUUAUUAUAUAUAAUAAGAAAAUAAUAAUUUGUUAAUAUAGAAGUUUAAUAGUUUAAAAAAAUGUUUAUUUAAAUUUGGACAAUAAAGUAAUAAUGAUAGUAUUAGUAAAAAGUUAAAUAUUUAUAAAGUAGAAAUAUUAAUUUAAGGAAUUAGGCAAUAAUUAAUAUAAUAAAUUCACCUGUUUAUUAAAAACAUGGUUUUUUGAGUAUAAUUGAAAAUUAUUUCUGCCCAAUGAUUAUUUUUAAUGGCUGCAGUAUAUUGACUGUACAAAGGUAGCAUAAUCAAUUGCUUUUUAAAUGAAAGCUUGUAUGAAAGAAUUGAUGAAAUUUAUACUGUCUUGGAUUAAAGAUUUUAAUUUAAUUAUUAAGUAAAAAUACUUAAAUGUAAGUAUGGGACGAGAAGACCCUAUAGAAUUUUAUAUAGUUAUGAUUAUUUAUUGUGUUUAAUAAUUAGAAUAUUUUAAUUAUAUUUAGUUGGGAGGAUUGGUAAAUUUAUUUAACUUUAUUUGUUAAUUUAAUAUAAAUUAAUAGUUAGGAAUUUUUGAUUGAUUAUUAAAAUUUUAUCAGAAUUAAUUACCUUAGGGAUAACAGCGUAAUAUUUUUGGAGAGAUCUUAUUGAUAAAAAUGUUUGCGACCUCGAUGUUGAAUUAAGAUAAAAAUUAAAUGUAGAUAUUUAAUAUUUAAGUCUGUUCGACUUUUAAAAUCUUACAUGAUUUGAGUUUAGAUCGGUGUGAGCCAGAUCGGUUUCUAUCUAUAUUAGAGUUUGAGAAUAUUUGUACGAAAGGACUAUAUUUUUUGAAUAAUUUAUAUACAUUUUAAUUUUAGGUAAAUAUAUAGUUGUUUAUUAUUACUUUGACAGAAUAGUGU
rnacentral:rRNA from 1 species